rnacentral:rRNA from 1 species
GACGUAGGGCGCAGGCGUUGUCCGGAUUUAUUGGGCGUAAAGAGCUCGUAGGCGGCUUGUCGCGUCGACCGUGAAAACCCGCAGCUCAACUGCGGGCUUGCGGUCGAUACGGGCAGGCUCGAGUUCGGUAGGGGAGACUGGAAUUCCUGGUGUAGCGGUGAAAUGCGCAGAUAUCAGGAGGAACACCGGUGGCGAAGGCGGGUCUCUGGGCCGAUACUGACGCUGAGGAGCGAAAGCGUGGGGAGCGAACAGG